GUGAGUGACACGGGGUGCUGCCGCGGCAGCUGAGACCACACCCGUCGAACCUGAUCCGGUUAGCACCGGCGAAGGGAUGUCCGCCUCCUUCGUC
rnacentral:ncRNA from 2 species